ACUUUCCUCAAGCAGAUGGCAGACACCUGGUUACAUAGCAGGAAAAAAGGAAACCUUUUCUGUAAGAAAUUUUUGAAAGAAACUACAGCACCACAGGGACAUAAAAAAUCAAUUUGGUGACUGUGGGAAGCCUUACAGCCUUCAUCUACUCUACUCUGCUCUCCACUAUAAGCUCUAAAACUUGGUCCUUGAGGGACAAUAAGGUCAGGAAACGAACAAAAGGAGGUCGAACAAGCCAAUGUCAGGAUCAAGAUUAGAAGUUACUGGACUUGGACUGUGCUCUAAUGAUUAAAUGUUGCUGCGUGUGAUUUUCAGCUCCCAGUUUUCUUGAAUCUUUGUAAUUUUCUGAAGAAAAAGUAAGUAAUGCUCACA